AAUUGCUCCUGAGACCCAACAGGCAGCAACGGUCCCAAGGUCUUUCUGCCCCCGAUAACAGAAAAUCUCUUUUUCGUCUUAAAAAAAAAAAAAAAAAAAAAAAAAGCCUGUGGAAGACUCAGCAGAACCCAGGAAGCGCAGAAUUGGGAGAAAAGUCUUUGGCUGGGGCUGUUUCAAGUCUCUGGUUCAAUGGGCUGCUCGAAGCCAGGACUGGGUAAUUCUUUCCAGACGUCUUGACUUCUCCUUCCCCGCCGUUGUUGCCCUUCUGCCUCCUCCAACUUAAGGGGGUCUUAACAAGUGAGCUGGAUCUUCUGAGGGGUGGACUUCUUUGGAACUCGACAGGACCUUGAAGACUGGGUUCUUAGUCCUUAUCACAUAUAUGGGCUAUAAUGAAUAAGUCUAAACAGAAAAGUCGAAUAAACUGGAAAUGAUGCUUUCAUCACGUCGCACAAGAAAAACACAUUUGUUGUUUCUCGCCUCUUGUAAUUCAUGACCCAUAAGACAAAAGUAAAAUGUUCUCUGACUGCAAAUGGAUGUAAAAACUGAUUAUACAGCUACACAUUUCUGUCAUCCUCCCAUCUCUACCCCAAAGAAAGAGGAGCUGUUUGGAUCAGAAGAUGACAUCCUUUCACCCAUCCCUUUCAGGUUUUGACAUCCUAAAAUGUACCUUAUGGAACCCAUACCUGUUAUGUUUUCACCUGUACAAGGCAACAGAGAAAACAUGGUAGUUUUUACUUGAGUAGAUGUGACUUAGCAAUAUGUUGUUGCUGACCUCCAUCCCACAGCACAAAACAUAUGUUUAUAUGUCUGACAGACAAAGUAUCCAGAACAAGGAUUUAGUACCUUCAUAAUCCUCUGUAUAUGUGGUUCUAGAACUUUUGGUAAAGAAACUCUUUAUACUCUUAUUAAUUAUUGAGAACCUCAAAAAAAGUUUAUAUGUUAUAUGUAUCAAUAUUUACCACAUUAGACAUUAAAGCUGACUUAAAAAGUUAAAAUACUUAAGUCAUUUGAAGUAAUAAUAAAUGCAGUUACAUACCAACUUAAUAACAUUUUGCGAAAAUAGCUAUUUUUCAAAACCUAAAGUGAGAAAAGUGGCAGUUUUCCAUUUUUGCAAAUCUCUUUGCUGUCUAGCUGAUAGAAGACAGCUGGAUUCUCCUAUUUGCUUUUGCAUUCAAUUGUUGUUUUGAUUGAAGUAUAUGAAAAAAAAUCUGGUGUCAUACACAUAUAUAAUUGGGAAAUGGAAGAGUAUUUACACAGGCUUUUUUAGAUAUUCUUCCUUUAUACUACAUCAAAACUUGAUAAGUUGCAAUGUUGUGAAUUGGCCCAGGGCUUGGCCCUCUGAAGAUUUGCUGAAAAUCACUGACAUGAAGUAGAUUAAUAGGAUAAAAGGCAUAUACAUUUAUUUAAUGUGUAUACACAGCGGCCUUUAGAAUGAAGACCCAAAGAUACAGAAGAAAUUGUCUGUUUUUAUGCUUAAGUUUAACAAAGAAUGGGCAGCCGUGUAGAGAUAGGAUAGGACAAAAAGGGCAUAAUCUAAUGCUAGCUGACUGAGUGAGGAAGCCCAGCAAGGCCUGUCAGUGUCUCCUCAGUAUGAGUGAAUUUUGUGUACUCUGAUAAUACAUUAAAAUCUGUUUAUGUACUCUGAUAACACAUUCAAAUCUGUUGUUCUGUUUUAUACUUUAAAUGCAUCUUUUAUAACCGUUUAUGAAUUUGUAAUAUUGUGUAUUGAUU
rnacentral:lncRNA from 1 species